rnacentral:rRNA from 1 species
UACGUAGGGGGCUAGCGUUAUCCGGAAUUACUGGGCGUAAAGGGUGCGUAGGUGGUUUCUUAAGUCAGAGGUGAAAGGCUACGGCUCAACCGUAGUAAGCCUUUGAAACUGGGAAACUUGAGUGCAGGAGAGGAGAGUGGAAUUCCUGGUGUAGCGGUGAAAUGCGCAGAUAUCAGGAAGAACACCCGUGGCGAAGGCGGCUCUCUGGGACGUGACUGACGCUGAGACGCGAAAGCGUGGGGAGCGAACAGG